CGGCUGGCGGCGGCGGGGUCCCUGCAGAGGAGGGGCACUUCGGCGGCGGCUAUCAGCGCAGGUUAAGGUGACAGUUAAGUAAUCAAGGUGUUAGGUUGCAGGUUGGCUUUGGCGAGUUUCCCAGCCCGGAGACGGAUAUCCCCAAGACUUUUUCUCCCGAGAAGCAUUCCGAUAUUAUUCAGGCCAUAACACAUCCAUUCUUCAGGCACUCUGUUUUCCUCUCCUGAAUGACGACAGCAGCCUCCCAUCUGGCCUCCUUGCCUCCAAUCCAUCCACCACCCUCCAGAACAAGUG